AAAUUUUAAUGUAAUCUUAAAUGUUAAUCUGCAGGGGUACAGCCCUGCAGAAUAAGACUACAACCUUAAUUAGAGAGUAAAUUUAUAUAACAACCAUAGUUGGCCUAAAAGCAGCCACCAAUUAAGAAAGCGUUCAAGCUCAACAAUUAAACUUAAACUUAAUUCAAAAAAUAAUAUAAGCUCCUAACUUAAAUACUGGACUAUUCUACUUAUCCGUAGAAGAAAUACUGUUAAUAUGAGUAACAAGAUUUUAUAUCUCCAAACACACGUGUAUAUCAGCCCGAAUCCCAACUGAUAGUUAACAAUUAGAUAAACCUAAACAUCCAAUUAACUAUUUUCCAUAAUAUUGUUAAUCCAACACUGGAGUGUAUAUAAGGAAAGAUUAAAAAAAGUAAAAGGAACUCGGCAAACAAAAACCCCGCCUGUUUACCAAAAACAUCACCUCUAGCAUUACCAGUAUUAGAGGCACUGCCUGCCCAGUGACAUUAGUUAAACGGCCGCGGUAUCCUGACCGUGCAAAGGUAGCAUAAUCAUUUGUUCCUUAAUUAGGGACUUGUAUGAAUGGCCCCACGAGGGUUUAACUGUCUCUUACUUUUAAUCAGUGAAAUUGACCUUCCCGUGAAGAGGCGGGAAUAUACAAAUAAGACGAGAAGACCCUAUGGAGCUUAAAUUAACGUGCCCAACAAAAUCUACUCUUAAUCCAACAGGAAAUAAAAAUAUUUUAACUGGGCAACAAAUUUUGGUUGGGGUGACCUCGGAGUAUAACAAAACCUCCGAGCGAUAUUGACCAAGACCUACCCGUCAAAGUAAUAUAAUUUAUUGAUCCAAUCAUAUUGAUCAACGAAAUAAGUUACCCUAGGGAUAACAGCGCAAUCCUAUUUAAGAGUUCAUAUCGACAAUAGGGUUUACGACCUCGAUGUUGGAUCAGGACACCCAAAUGGUGCAGCAGCUAUUAAAGGUUCGUUU
rnacentral:rRNA from 1 species